rnacentral:lncRNA from 1 species
AUUCUGCUUUGAAAUGAUAUAAUUUAGGUUCUGCUUUGAAUUUGAUUUUGUGUGUGUUCUGGAUUUUGUUUUAAGGGUUACAUCACAAUGGACACCAAUUGAUCCGUAACUGAAUUGAAUCGAGUGUCAUGAAUGGUUGUGGUCUGAAUUGUUUAAGAGUUCAAUUAUAUGAUUGGCUUCUGGUCAGAAUUGUUUAAGAGAAUUGGAACUGAAUUGAAUCGAGUGCGUAUUUGUCUGUUGAGCUGUGUGUUUGUCUUUUGAGCUGUGUGUUUGUCUUUUGAGCUGUUACUGAUUUUUGUUUCGUAUUUUAUGUGUUUGUCUGUUGAGCGCAAUG